GACGAACGCUUUCUUCGUGCUUAACACAUGCAAGUCGAACGGAAAGGCCCUGCUUUUGUGGGGUGCUCGAGUGGCGAACGGGUGAGUAACACGUGAGUAACCUGCCCUUGACUUUGGGAUAACUUCAGGAAACUGGGGCUAAUACCGGAUAGGAGCUCCUGCCGCAUGGUGGGGGUUGGAAAGUUUCGGCGGUUGGGGAUGGACUCGCGGCUUAUCAGCUUGUUGGUGGGGUAGUGGCUUACCAAGGCUUUGACGGGUAGCCGGCCUGAGAGGGUGACCGGCCACAUUGGGACUGAGAUACGGCCCAGACUCCUACGGGAGGCAGCAGUGGGGAAUAUUGCACAAUGGGCGGAAGCCUGAUGCAGCAACGCCGCGUGCGGGAUGACGGCCUUCGGGUUGUAAACCGCUUUCGCCUGUGACGAAGCGUGAGUGACGGUAAUGGGUAAAGAAGCACCGGCUAACUACGUG
rnacentral:rRNA from 1 species